rnacentral:rRNA from 1 species
GCAACGCGAAAACCUUUACCCACCUUUGACAUGGCAGGAAUCCUGAAGAGAUUUGGGAGUGCUCGAAAGAGAACCUGCACACAGGUGCUGCAUGGCUGUCGUCAGCUCGUGUCGUGAGAUGUUGGGUUAAGUCCCGCAACCGAGCGCAACCCUUGCCAUUAGUUGCUACGAAAGGGCACUCUAAUGAGACUGCCGGUGACAAACCGGAGGAAGGUGGGGAUGACGUCAAGUCCUCAUGGCCCUUAUGGGUAGGGCUUCACACGUCAUACAAUGGUCGGUACAGAGGGUUGCCAAGCCGCGAGGUGGAGCCAAUCCCAGAAAGCCGAUCGUAGUCCGGAUUGUUCUCUGCAACUCGAGAGCAUGAAGUCGGAAUCGCUAGUAAUCGCGGAUCAGCAUGUCGCGGUGAAUACGUUCCCGGGUCUU